GACGUAGGGAGCGAGCGUUGUCCGGAUUUAUUGGGCGUAAAGGGCCAGUAGGCGGCUUGGCAAGUCGGAUGUGAAAACCCCAGGCUCAACUUGGGGAGGCCAUUCGAGACUGCUAUGGCUAGAGUCCGGUAGGGGAGCAUGGAAUACCCGGUGUAGCGGUGAAAUGCGCAGAUAUCGGGUGGAACACCAGUGGCGAAGGCGGUGCUCUGGGCCGGAACUGACGCUGAAUGGCGAAAGCGUGGGUAGCAAACAGG
rnacentral:rRNA from 1 species